ensembl:lncRNA
AUGUGUCUCUCCCUGGGUGUGUCUCUCUUCCUCUUUUCUCUCCCUCUGUCUGUCUGUCUCUCCCUGUCUGUCUCUCCUCUCUUCUCUCCCCUCUUUUCUCUCCCUCUCUGUCUGUCUGUCUCUCCCUCUGUCUAUCUCUCCUCUCUUCUCUCCCCUCUUUUCUCUCCCUCUCUGUCUGUCUCUCCCUCUGUCUGUCUCUCCUCUCCCCUCUUUUCUCUACCUCUCUGUCUCUCUGUCUCUCCCUCUGCCUCUCCUCUCUUCUAUCCCCUCUUUUAUAUCCCUCUGUAUGUCUCUCAUCUCCCCUCUUUUCUCUCCCUCUCUGUCUGUCUCUCCCUCUGUAUGUCUCUCCUAGCUUCUCUCCCCUCUUAUCUCUCCCUAUCUGUCUGUCUGUCUCUCCCUCUGUCUGUCUCUCCUCUCUUCUCUCCCCUCUUCCCUCCCUCUGUCUCUGUCUCUCCCUGUCUGCCUGUCCUCUCUCUUCUCCCCGUCUCUUCUCUCUCUGUCAGCCUGGCCUCUCGGGGCCUGUGUCCUUCCCAGCCCUGCUUGCUCACAGUUCACUAGAUCUCUGUGACCUUGAACAUGGGACUUCCCUGUCAGAGUCUCCGUUUUCCUGACAGGGGCGGCUAGGAUCGGCCUGGCUCCUCUCUUGGGUCCCCUCCAGCGUUGACAUUCUGUGUAAAUUCUACCCAAGGCCUCUGGCAUUUUCUGUUUAUGAAACUGGAGGGGAAGGUCUGACUCCUGCCUGAGCUCCCUGAAACUGCCCGCAAAGGUUAAUUUAAAACCAUAAAUCUGGUGUGAGUCGAGGGCUUUGUGUUCCUGUCCCACCGAUCCGAGCUCUCAGCUUAAUAUUUCAGCAAAUUAAAACAUAAAUCUUCAUUUUCUCCCUUGCGAUGCUGCUGGCCUACCCUGGUCUGUGUCGGCGCCUCACUCAGGUCGUGCCUGGCCCCUGGAACAGACUUCCUGCUCCUCUUCCUCUCUGGACUCGUCCUUUCUCUCAAGGCUCGGCGGAGUCCAGUCCUUGGGCCCUGCUUGGGUCAACCCUGUCUGUCUCUCCCCCUGCCAUUUCCUCUGCACUGAUCUCGCGCUCCCCUGCCUGGGUUUAUGCAUAUUCCUGUCUGUGCCCCAAUAUUAUAGGAACCCAGAAUGUCCAAGCGGGGAUGGGACACAGAGACCAUUCAGUCCAACCAUGGUGGGGAGUCCUGGGUUCCAAGUCCUUCCGCCAACUUUGGGGGCAACCCUGAAAUUUCUCUGUGCCUCAGUUUCCUUAUUUCUAAAACGAGGGAGGUUGGAUUCAGUGACUUUUUUUUUAACUCUGCCUUUUUUUUUUUUAAUAAAAAUCCUCACCUUCUAUCUCA